GAGGGUAUAGCUCAAGUGGUAGAGCGCAUGCUUAGCAUGCAUGAGGUCCUGGGUUCAGUCCCCAGUACCUCCU
rnacentral:tRNA from 1 species